GCCUGGUGGCUCAGUCAGUAGAGCGUCUGACUUCGGCUCAGGUCACAAUCUCAUGGUUUGUAGGUUCAAGUUCUGCGUCGGGCU
rnacentral:tRNA from 1 species